AUAAACAGCAGUGUCCAGCGGGGAGGUGGGUGGGGAGCGGAGUUAGGGAAGGUCAUGGAAGGUCACUGAAGGUCACUGAAACCCGUGGUGGAGCCCUGUCACCGUCACCGUCUGGACUGUGAGCACAUCAUUUGCUUCACUGAGCCUCGUUUUCACUGGUAGGAGAAGGAAGGGUUGGGGAGCAUUACAAAAAUACCUUCUCGUCGACCUCAUAAGGGUGUCAUGAGCGGAUACAGUCCUAUUCUGCGAUACUGGGCAUGAGGAUUUUAACGCAUGAAUUUGGGACGGGAGCACACAUAGGCCCAUAACAGAAGGCUAGAUGAGACACUGUAUGUUAAAUCCCAGCAUAGAGCAGGCGUUUGUAUCUGUAUGUUCCCAGGGAGUGCUACCAAACACACUGAGGAUGAGAAGAAAACACAAGUGAGCCUCCAGCGUUUUAUAGUCCAUUGUGGUUUGGGAAUGCAGGGGACAGACCUGCCAUCAAACGGCCAG